GGGGAGCUUGGAUACUGCCCAGACACCUACGGGUGGCUGCAGUCGAGAAUCUUCGGCAAUGGACGCAAGUCUGACCGAGCGAUGCCGCGUGCGGGAUGAAGGCCUUCGGGUUGUAAACCGCUGUCAGAGGGGAAGAAAUUUUGACUGAACCUCAGAGGAAGGACGGGCUAAGUUCGUGCCAGCAGCCGCGGUAAGACGAACCGUCCGAACGUUAUUCGGAAUUACUGGGCUUAAAGGGUGCGUAGGCGGCCCUGUAAGUCAGGUGUGAAAUCCCACGGCUCAACCGUGGAACUGCGCUUGAAACUACAGGGCUUGAGGGAGAUAGGGGUGAGCGGAACUGAUGGUGGAGCGGUGAAAUGCGUUGAUAUCAUCAGGAACACCGGUGGCGAAGGCGGCUCACUGGGUCUCUUCUGACGCUGAGGCACGAAAGCUAGGGGAGCGAACGGGAUUAGAUACCCCGGUAGUCCUAGCUGUAAACGAUGAGCACUGGAUCGAGGGACCUCCCACAGUUUCUCGGUCGUAGCGAAAGUGUUAAGUGCUCCGCCUGGGGAGUAUGGUCGCAAGGCUGAAACUCAAAAGAAUUGACGGGGGCUCACAUAAGCGGUGGAGGAUGUGGCUUAAUUCGAGGCUACGCGAAGAACCUUAUCCUAGUCUUGACAUGCUUGAGAAUCUCCCUGAAAGGGGAGAGUGCUCUUCGGAGAGCUCUUGCACAGGUGCUGCAUGGCUGUCGUCAGCUCGUGUCGUGAGAUGUCGGGUUAAGUCCCUUAACGAGCGAAACCCUUAUCCCUAGUUGCCAGCGAGUAAUGUCGGGGACUCUAGAGAGACUGCCGGUGUUAAACCGGAGGAAGGUGGGGAUGACGUCAAGUCCUCAUGGCCUUUAUGACUAGGGCUGCACACGUCCUACAAUGCAACAUACAAAGGGAAGCAAACUCGCGAGAGCAAGCAAAUCCCAAAAAGUGUUGCUCAGUUCGGAUUGCAGGCUGCAACUCGCCUGCAUGAAGCUGGAAUCGCUAGUAAUCGCGGGUCAGCAUACCGCGGUGAAUAUGUUCCUGAGCCUUGUAUACACCGCCCGUCAAGCCACGAAAGUGGGGUGCACGCGAAGUCGCUAAGCUAACUCGCAAGAGA
rnacentral:rRNA from 1 species